UAUUGAAAUUGAUACAAUUCCACAAAAUGUUCUGAAUUCAAUGAAAAUUUAAAAAAGCACCCAAAUGAUUUAGGCCCUUUACAUCUCAUUUUCAAAAGAGAUUUAGGCAACUGGGCAUCUGUCUCCUAAACUAAAUACAUGAAUACUGAAAUGAAAUUACAUUUAUGACAAACAAUACAUUGUACCAGCUGCAUUAGUAUUUUAUGGUUGACAAUCAGUUACAAAUAAACAACAUUUCAGUAGUGGCCACCAACCCUAAGGGCCUCAGUUUUUUGGGUGGCAAACUUACCUUCUCAAGUUGAACACUCAAUUGAGAUUCUCAAAAUCACAGGCCAUUUUUGAAAAUGUGAUUGCAAGGACCUCAUGUAAGUAUAUAUCCUAACAGACUCUAAAUGAUUUCAAUAAGUACGUCGUCUAAAUUAAAGAGGACUUUAGGAUCAAGGUUCCAUCUAAACAAACUAUUUUACUGAAUUCUUUUCUGCUAUUCCUCCUUAAUGAACUGCACUGGUUAGCAAUUACACAAUAUUGUGACGACUGGAUUACCUAUAAACAAUUCUUCCAAGCAACCUCAUUUAACAUUUAUAAAUCUUUGCUUUUAGAAAGGAUUGUUUUAUUACCAUAAGUACACAAGGAACAGACUGACCUAAACCAGAAGCCAGGUGACAGCUGCUUUCAAAAUUCUAAUCUGCUUAUUGAUACAAAAGGAGAAAGGGAAUAAAUGAGUGAUUUCUGUUGAGUCCUAUGACAGCUCUACAUAUAUCUUACAAAUUCUCCCAAUUUUUAUAGCUAGAAGCCAAUUAGUUUGAUUUCAUACCUAAAAAGUAGUAUAAGGAGGGGCAAAUAAGAAUCCAUUGUACUGUAUUAUCAUAAGGCACAUUUUAAAAAUCACUUCACACACUUCUUGCUUAGUCUCUCUCUUGCUUUCUUUCUAGCAAAUAAUUUUAAAAAAUAAAUUCAAAUCUAUUUAGCAAUACACAUUCAAGAAAUAUGAAGAAAUAGCAAGGCAUAGUAAAUUUCAGCUGUUCUUUCAUUGCUGGUAUUAUCAAUAACAAUGAUCUCAUACAUUGUAACAGCUGUGCAGAUGAGAGAGAACCUGUUUAAUUUAACAAUUCAAACAAAUGGACUUCAGUCAGAAAACCCUGAGGGGAUAAAAAGUCUUCUGUUUUCCUAUAAGUGACUUUAGAACCACAUUGAAACACCUUAAUAAUAUUAAAGUAGUGUCAGAGGCAUGUUAAUCAUAGUUUGUCCAGUUUUAGGGUGUUUCUUCCAGUCCUAUGAUGGAGGGUUGCCACAUGAACAAAUCAAAAGAACAAUGAUCUGUUCUUGACUCACAGUGACAUGGAAUGUGAGAAGAAAGAAGGGCACAAUGGAAUGGAUGGCCAGAAAUUCCACUGCAUGCAAGAAUGUCUCCUUUCCAAACAGAGGUGCUGGGAUGUUCAGCCAAAUGAGGGGUCUGACUGUCUGCAUAUUACAUGGUGACUUUAUGAAGAUCAGAAUGCAAUAAGUAAUGAUAAAUUUAGUUUUGAAAACCUGAUUAAUAUAGUACCUUUGAACUUUUCCCAUUUUCUGCAGAAACAGAUGCAUUGUAUAUACAGCACUGAAAAAGUCCUGCUAAUUUCGCAGCCAAAUAUCCCUUACCGAAGAGUAUCCUACACUAUUAUAGCCUGGGCACUCUUACACUGGAAAGUGGUACUAGGCACUGUUCUCUCAAAUACUUAGUGUCAAUCUGGAAUUAUCCUGGGAGUCUCCUUAGAUAUAUGAUGAUGAAGACUAAGUGUUUGACUUUUUUGAAUAUGGGAAAGUUCAUAUCCCUGACUACCUUAAAGCUGUUGCUACUUGCCUCCAAACACACUGAAGAUUUAAGAAAACAAAACAGUGUGAUCUCAUUUAUGAUGAAUUUAUAUUUUCAGUCAGAGGCCAAAUUGCAGUAACUAUAGAUUUGAGGCAUCCUUUCUACAAACAACUAAUUAAACAAGGUUCACUACAUUUCCUACUUUAAGAUUACAUUUCCUUUGGUAAAAUUCAACAAAUGAAUGUGUAUUUAGAUGUGUAAUGUAACAGAUAAUACAGAUGAGGAAAAAGACCCAUCUAAAUAUAAACCAAAAUAAUAUAUUUUUAAUUUAGAUUUUAAUCCCUAAUUGAGCCAGUAGUCCAGAACUAUGAACAUUUUUGAAGCUCUACACAAUGAAAAUAUGAUGGCUACAAAGUGUAAUAAUAAGUACCUGUGCCAUGUAAACUAUGUACAAAACAAGGGGAAAAUAAACUACCACCUGCUGGUUACUAGAGAGGCCAGUUUCUGCUUCUCCUUUCUUGGACGUGCAAACUGCUGAACAGACAUUUCCUUGUUUUAUGCAAUCUGCAUAGAUAGGCCUGUAAAGCUAGUCUGACCACAAGAGAUUAAUAGCUUUAGCCAAAUAAUGUGGUAACCAUGUGAACCAUGAGCUGCUCUAGCUUGUUUGUGAGCCUCUCAGCAAGGUUCAACAUGCCGCUAUCUGCAUCUUGUUGCCAGGAAACACAACAUCGCUCUGGAAUACAGGAAAAGUCAGGUUGCAGUGACCACAAGUGAACUCCAGGAAGACUCAUAACUGACCCCAAACAGUUCAUAUCCAAAGGAUUAGGAAGUUUCACUGACUAAGAAAUACUGUUUGUCAGAGAGCUUCCUCCUACACUACAACCCCUAAAAAGUAUUUUUCAGAUUCAUUAUUCAAAACUAGAAGUACCAAUGCUAAGUCCUUCACUUGAGCCAAGAGAGGGAGAUAUUUAAUCCAGCAGACUUACUUUUCAGUAGAAGGACUCAGGCAACAAUACACUGUCUACAGAGGAAGCUAUGACUUCAAAUAUGCAGUAUGACAUUCCUGUGUGAAAUUGCUAAAGCUGGAGAAUAGUGCUUUCAAAAGUUUUGAAUAAGAACAUUCACAGUCAAAUAGCUAAGUUAUCACCAAACAUUCUUUGCUAGGUGAAAUGUACACCAUUCUUAUAUUGAAUUGUUUAAUUUGAAAAUUUGUUUGGAACGUACUAAUGAAAAAUGUAGUUGGAAUGUAUGUGGUUAAUCUGUAUUCACAUUAACUGAGCAUUAUAAGUGAUUCAGGCAGGACUGACAACAGUGCUUUCAGUCUUUCUAUUGUCCUCUUUAAACAGCCAGAAAUGAGUAGUUCCUAAUGCAGAGACAAGUCUUUGAAUUCAGAAGUUGACCAGCCAGUGCUGAACAAUAGGUGUCAUACCAACAGUCGCUGCUGACCCUGUCAGUUCUAGAGAAUAUAAGCUUUCAUUUUUCAAAAGUUUCUCUGGCACAAAAACCCUGUAGAUGAUAAUCCAUGUGUGUCAGUCUUACUAAACUUGUAAACAGGCAUACAAUAAUUUCAGAUUUGGUCAGUGCCUAUGGAUUACAAAGGGAGUAUUACCAAUAACAUCAAUGGACAGCCCUACUGACUUCAAUGGGCAAUGGACCCUAGGAAAGGUAUGAAAUGACUCCGUUCGUGUAGGCUGUCCUGUUUCACUCAAGUCUGAUAAGUACCACCUUGAUCAUUUUAGCAGAGGUUUUCAGAUGUUCCAGCACUAUGAACUGAGUUUGGAAUUAGACAGAUGUUGAACAAGUAGAUCACCACCAUUCUUUUUCUCCCAACCUAGAAGUCCCUUAAAAAUAUGCUGUUCCCAGGUAUUGUUAUUUAUCACUAAGCUAAAAGGGAGAAUGUGCUACAUGCUGUAAAAGAAAAGACAAUCCCUACCCUGUAAAGUUCACAGUUUACAAGUAUGUUUUAAAGGGUUUGGUAGCGGUGUGUCUGCAGAAGAGUGGAAUAUUACUAGUAUUGGAACUUUAACACUUACCCAACUAGCUCAGAACAGGGAGACUGAAGGCAAUAUUACCAUAAAUGUCAAUAAAUACUGAUAUAUUAAAAAUAUCUGAAAAAAAUCUAGAUGUAUGGGAAAAUAGCAUUAAGUUUUAUUUUCCUUAAUUCCUUAACUGAGUGUACUUG